GGGGGGCGGGUGCUAUAAUGCAGUCGAACGAGUUCUCGUUGAUGCAUCGGUGCUUGCACCGAGAUUCAACAUGGAACGAGUGGCGGACGGGUGAGUAACACGUGGGUAACCUGCCCUUAAGUGGGGGAUAACAUUUGGAAACAGAUGCUAAUACCGCAUAGAUCCAAGAACCGCAUGGUUCUUGGCUGAAAGAUGGCGUAAGCUAUCGCUUUUGGAUGGACCCGCGGCGUAUUAGCUAGUUGGUGAGGUAAUGGCUCACCAAGGCGAUGAUACGUAGCCGAACUGAGAGGUUGAUCGGCCACAUUGGGACUGAGACACGGCCCAAACUCCUACGGGAGGCAGCAGUAGGGAAUCUUCCACAAUGGACGCAAGUCUGAUGGAGCAACGCCGCGUGAGUGAAGAAGGCUUUCGGGUCGUAAAACUCUGUUGUUGGAGAAGAAUGGUCGGCAGAGUAACUGUUGUCGGCGUGACGGUAUCCAACCAGAAAGCCACGGCUAACUACGUGCCAGCAGCCGCGGUAAUACGUAGGUGGCAAGCGUUAUCCGGAUUUAUUGGGCGUAAAGCGAGCGCAGGCGGUUUUUUAAGUCUGAUGUGAAAGCC
rnacentral:rRNA from 1 species